rnacentral:lncRNA from 1 species
CAGUGAUCCAGCUUGUCUACAGCUUGCUUCCAUCACACCAGAGAGCAGCAGGACAAGCGGUUGGAGUUGGCACAGUGCUGCAGCCUCCUUCACAAGGCCUCCCUCAUCUGCUCCAUCCUACCUGGCUCUUAGUCUGUCUCCAAAGUGACUUUUAUCUGAAAAAAAAAGAAGAAAAGAAAAAAAAAAGAAAAAAAAUUGCCAAGUAAGCAAUAGCUGUUAUCAUUUCUGUAACAGAGGCCUAUGCUCCUGUUUGACUCCAGUGCUUAACACCUGAGAGAAACAGUCUGAGAUGGGGAUUUCACACAGAUGUAACAUUAGGACAACUAAUGGUGAAUUUACUAGGCUAACACAAUGAAAGAAUGUUAUUUAUCUGUGUGCAGUGGCUGUUUAUGAAAUAAAGUGAACAGAACUGCUACGAAAGCGUGAGAGCAUCCUGACGGAGGCAGGGCUGUGAGAUAAGAUAAAUGAAAGCACCUGAGGUGGGGUGGCUCAUUGUGACCUGGCUGUGGGCACCUGGGCUGGGGUGGUGCUGGGCCCUUCUCCUGCCCCACUGUGAGGGGUCUUGCAGGGCUUGUGGAAGAAGGGUGCUAUUUUGGAACAGGGGUUGAUAUCCUGUUUUCCUCUUGGUUUACAAAGAAAACUCAGUGUCAAGGGAACUGAAGACUGGGAUGUGCUGGGCUAAUAUAAAUUUGACCGAAGCCAAGAAUGCCCCUGGUUUGGCUCUGGAAAGAGUACUAAGCAGCCAAGGACAUUUGGAUAGCCAAAUCCAACCCAGUGCGGUGAAAUGUUUACUUCCUUUGGAAAGUCAGCUUUUCCUUACACCUCUGAAAGGGAGGGGAAACUGCAUCUUGAGUUUGUCCCUGAGACUGAAAAAUGAAAAUUUCUAAGUAUUUUUACUGAUUGUAGUACUGCGUGUAUUUUUGCCUGCAAAUCCUGAUGGGGGGAAAAGGUGUCAUCCCCACCAAAAA